UGCUGCCGCCUGCCCUCCGCCCGCGGGCGUCUGCGCGAGCCCGGGGCCGGCGGGGGAGAUGUGCUCGGGCUCCGCCGGAUCGGUUUCUCGGGGUUUGACCAGCUGUCCCGGGCUAACCCUGCUCCCUCGCUGAAGAUGGAGGAAGUAAAAACAGGAUUACCCUUAGCUACAGAUCCACUGCCUUAGUUUCCACCACCCACUGCAGUGCACAAACACACGUUAGGCACAAGGAGAGAAAAGAAAGAGAGAGAGGGGAGAGGACACACUAACAGUAAACACAAACAAAAGGGUGAUGGGAUUAUUUUACUGCAUGCACGGCUGAGCACUGCACUUUGACUAUGGAAACAGAGGCUAUUGAUGGCUACUUAACAUGUGACAAUGAGCUUUCACCCGAAGGGGAGCACGCCAGUAUGGCCAUUGACCUCACCUCAAGCACACCCAAUGGACAGCACGCCUCCCCAAGUCACAUGACAAGCAGU